CUGGCAGCCACUGUUCCUGUGACUUACCUUGUGCCUAGACUUGGGCGUAUGAAGCACUCAGAAAGCACCUUGGUAUACUGCAACACCUUUAUACCGCCCAAGCCUACUCCUGCCUCAGCCAAUCUCAGGACCAGAGCUCCACCAGCCUCCAUUGUAAAAGAAGGUACUCCUGAUGAAUGCAGAGGACAACACAGGAGGGGAUGACAACCCGGUUGUCCUUUCCCAGGUAUCCCCAGC